rnacentral:rRNA from 1 species
CAGUCGCCGCGGUAACACGUAGGGUGCAAGCGUUAAUCGGAAUUACUGGGCGUAAAGCGUGCGCAGGCGGUUAUAUAAGACAGAUGUGAAAUCCCCGGGCUCAACCUGGGAACUGCAUUUGUGACUGUAUAGCUAGAGUACGGCAGAGGGGGAUGGAAUUCCGCGUGUAGCAGUGAAAUGCGUAGAUAUGCGGAGGAACACCGAUGGCGAAGGCAAUCCCCUGGGCCUGUACUGACGCUCAUGCACGAAAGCGUGGGGAGCAAACAGGAUUAGAUACCCCUGUAGUCCCUGUCUCUUAUAA